UUCUGGAGUGAGUUCCCAUCUCAAUGAACAGCCCAAGUAUUCUAAGCCAAAGCCCUCUCACACCCACUCACUGCAUUGCCACCGGGGGAACUGUGAAGAGCCGCUCUCCCAGCUCUGCUAUCAGUUCACACACAGCCCGGCUGCCGUUUCCUGGAGACCAGAGAAGUUUGCUCUUGAAGCUAAGCCUCCUGAAGACAUGGCCAUGGUUCUACAUCUCACCAUUGUGUCCCCACUCUACAGACCACUGAGUUUAUAAUGUAAGAAUUUCAGCAGAUACCCAUCGAACUGUCUUCAUUUUCACAUCAACUACCAAGAUGACUUCAGCUCCAAGGACCAGAUUAGAUGAUGUCCGAAAACAAGGAGAUAUGCUUUUUUCAUUUUCAUACUUUGCUUGAAAUAAAGACAUUUGAAACUACAAA